rnacentral:rRNA from 1 species
AGAGUUUGAUCCUGGCUCAGGAUGAACGCUGGCGGCGUGCUUAACACAUGCAAGUCGAACGAACCUUCGGGUUAGUGGCGGACGGGUGAGUAACGCGUGAGAAUCUGCCCUCAGGAGGGGGAUAACGGCUGGAAACGGCCGCUAAUACCCCAUAUGCCGAGAGAUGAAAUGAAUUUCGCCUGAGGAUGAGCUCGCGUCUGAUUAGCUAGUUGGUGUGGUAAAGGCUCACCAAGGCAUCGAUCAGUAGCUGGUCUGAGAGGAUGAUCAGCCACACUGGGACUGAGACACGGCCCAGACUCCUACGGGAGGCAGCAGUGGGGAAUUUUCCGCAAUGGGCGCAAGCCUGACGGAGCAACGCCGCGUGAGGGAUGAAGGCCUCUGGGCUGUAAACCUCUUUUAUCAAGGAAGAAGAUCGGACGGUACUUGAUGAAUAAGCCACGGCUAAUUCCGUGCCAGCAGCCGCGGUAAUACGGGAGUGGCAAGCGUUAUCCGGAAUUAUUGGGCGUAAAGCGUCCGCAGGCGGUCUUGAAAGUCUGUUGUUAAAGCGUGGAGCUCAACUCCAUUUCAGCAAUGGAAACUAGAAGACUAGAGUGUGGUAGGGGCAGAGGGAAUUCCCGGUGUAGCGGUGAAAUGCGUAGAUAUCGGGAAGAACACCAGUGGCGAAGGCGCUCUGCUGGGCCAUAACUGACGCUCAUGGACGAAGGCCAGGGGAGCGAAAGGGAUUAGAUACCCCUGUAGUCCCGGCCGUAAACGAUGAACACUAGGUGUCGGGGGAAUCGACCCCCUCGGUGUCGUAGCCAACGCGUUAAGUGUUCCGCCUGGGGAGUACGCACGCAAGUUUGAAACUCAAAGGAAUUGACGGGGGCCCGCACAAGCGGUGGAGUAUGUGGUUUAAUUCGAUGCAACGCGAAGAACCUUACCAGGGUUUGACAUCCUGCGAAUCCCUUGGAAACUUGGGAGUGCCUUCGGGAGCGCAGUGACAGGUGGUGCAUGGCUGUCGUCAACUCGUGUCGUGAGAUGUUGGGUUAAGUCCCGCAACGAGCGCAACCCACGUCUUUAGUUGCCAGCAUUAAGUUGGGCACUCUAGAGAGACUGCCGGUGAUAAACCGGAGGAAGGUGUGGAUGACGUCAAGUCAUCAUGCCCCUUACAUCCUGGGCUACACACGUACUACAAUGCUACGGACAAAGGGCAGCAAACUCGCGAGAGCUAGCAAAUCCCAUAAACCGUGGCUCAGUUCAGAUCGUAGGCUGCAACUCGCCUACGUGAAGGAGGAAUCGCUAGUAAUCGCAGGUCAGCAUACUGCGGUGAAUACGUUCCCGGGCCUUGUACACACCGCCCGUCACACCAUGGAAGUUGGCCACGCCCGAAGUCGUUACUCCAACCCGCAAGGGAGGAGGAUGCCGAAGGUGGGGCUGAUGACUGGGGUGAAGUCGUAACAAGGUA